AAAGAACUUCAGCUGAAAGCUUCUCCAAAGACACCACUGGUUAUCAACCUACUUAUGUCCUACGAAUGUUGCACUGCUGUUAAGAUCCAUCUAAAAAGAAAGGAUGAAUAAACAAACGUGACUGAGUUGAGUUGUUCCUGCGUCUCUUUGGAGGAAGCAAGCCUUUUCAAGUUUGGGAAAAUGCUGAAGUGACUUCAGAUGGAGAAAAAACUUGACAUUGUCUGUUCUUACCGCAUGGCGGUUGCAAAGUUAUGUCACCAAUUAAAAUGUUGUACAAUAACAACAUAA